rnacentral:lncRNA from 1 species
GGCUCUGGCACAGAUCCCAAGGUGGCAAUGGCCUCUGCUGCCUCAGCCCCUGCCAUGCUGUCCACCAGCAUCACUGUGGAGAAUAAGGUCAGCCCCUCAAGGGCAACAGAGGGGUCUAGGUCUGGACCUGUGGCUGGCGGCACAGGAGCCAUGGUGGUGCAGACCAGGAGCUGUGUCUAGCAAGGCUUAUGCCCUGCCAAGCACUGCCAAUGGAGAUGUGAAGCUGCUGGUGGUAUCCAGCAUGCCUCUGGUGGACUUCCUGAUGUAGCUGGAGGAUUAUACACCUAUGAUCCUGGAUGCUGUGACUGAUUAUUUUUUAUUUUUGAGAUGGAAUCUCGCUCUGUUGCCCAGGCUGGAGUGCAGUGGCAUGAACUUGGCUCACUGCAACCUCCGCCUCCUGAGUUCAAGUGGUUCUCCUGCCUCAGCCUCCCCAGCAGCUGGGAUUACAGGUGCACACCACCAUGCCUGGCUAAUUUUUGUAUUUUUGUAGAGACGGGGUUUCACUAUGUUGGCCAGGCUAGUCUCAAACUCCCGACCUCAAGUAAUCCACCUGUCUCAGCCUUCUAAAUGCAGGGAUUACAGGCGUGAGCCAUGCGCCUGGCCCAAUGUGACUGAGCAUUAUCUGAAUUAUGUUGGCUUUGAGGUCUCAGACACAUGCAUAAUUUGGCUUAUCUCCCUAGUUUCACAGAAAUUCAUCUCAGGUAUUGCCAACAAUGACCUACGGCACUAGAAAAUGAAAGGCACAGCCUCUGGCAGCUCCUGAAGUAAGAGCAAAGACUAA